rnacentral:rRNA from 1 species
CGGUGGAGCAUGUGGUUUAAUUCGAUGCAACGCGAAGAACCUUACCUGGUCUUGACAUCCCGGAGACCCUUAGGAAACUAGGGGGUGCUUCCAUCUGGAAGAAUCUGGAGACAGGUGCUGCAUGGCUGUCGUCAGCUCGUGUCGUGAGAUGUUGGGUUAAGUCCCGCAACGAGCGCAACCCUUGCCUUUAGUUGCCAGCAGUUCGGCUGGGCACUCUAAAGGGACUGCCGGUGUUAAACCGGAGGAAGGUGGGGAUGACGUCAAGUCCUCAUGGCCUUUAUGACCAGGGCUACACACGUACUACAAUGGCCGAUACAAAGGGCAGCGACACUGCGAGGUGAAGCCAAUCCCGUAAAAUCGGUCUCAGUCCGGAUUGGAGUCUGCAACUCGACUCCAUGAAGUUGGAAUCGCUAGUAAUCGUGGAUCAGCAUGCCACGGUGAAUACGUUCCCGGGCCUU